UGGGAUUCCAGAGGGUGGUGGGGAGGAGCCCACCCCCAGGGCAGAGUUGGGGAGAAUGGGAAGUCCAGGACAAAGGAGAUUCAUGAUGCCUGCCGGCUUACAAAAGGUCCGAGAAGGCCUGCAGAUAUCAGAUUCACUUUGUUUCUUCCCGCACUUCCCUAACCUAUUUAUGGCCAAGAAACUUCCUUUUUAGAUGCCAUGUCUAUUAAUUUCCCAAGAAACAAGUGGGCCAAUGAACCACACCUGAGUAAAUACACUGUCAUGCAAGUCCCUCAUCCUGCAGAACUCGCCAGACCCUGGCAUUGCCAAGACAACCAACGGCUGCCAGCAGAACGAAGAUCCGGGGUGGGGGCAGGGGGCGUGCCGGCCCGCCCCUGGCCUACUAACCUGGCAGGCAGAUUUAAAUGACAGUCCAGGAAGCUACUAUUAAACUGUCACCCCAGCCGAUGGGACGACAG